GACGAACGCUGGCGGCGUGCCUAAUACAUGCAAGUUGAGCGCUGAAGGUUGGUACUUGUACCCACUGGAUGAGCAGCGAACGGGUGAGUAACGCGUGGGGAAUCUGCCUUUGAGCGGGGGACAACAUUUGGAAACGAAUGCUAAUACCGCAUAAAAACUUUAAACACAAGUUUUAAGUUUGAAAGAUGCAAUUGCAUCACUCAAAGAUGAUCCCGCGUUGUAUUAGCUAGUUGGUGAGGUAAAGGCUCACCAAGGCGAUGAUACAUAGCCGACCUGAGAGGGUGAGCGGCCACAUUGGGACUGAGACACGGCCCAAACUCCUACGGGAGGCAGCAGUAGGGAAUCUUCGGCAAUGGACGAAAGGCUGACCGAGCAACGCCGCGUGAGUGAAGAAGGUUUUCGGAUCGUAAAACUCGGUUGGUAGAGAAGAACGUUGGUGAGAGUGGAAAGCUCAUCAAGUGACGGUAACUACCCAGAAAGGGACGGCUAACUACGUG
rnacentral:rRNA from 1 species